rnacentral:rRNA from 1 species
GACGAACGCUGGCGGCGUGCUUAACACAUGCAAGUCGAACGAAGUGGCGAACGGGUGAGUAACGCGUAAUCAACCUGCCCUUCAGUGGGGGACAACAGUUGGAAACGACUGCUAAUACCGCAUACUGAAGGAGGGGAUUGCGUCUGAUUAGCUAGUUGGAGGGGGAACGGCCCACCAAGGCGAUGAUCAGUAGCCGGUCUGGGAGGAUGGACGACCACAGUGGGAAUGAGACACGGGCCAGGAUCCUUAGGGAGGCAGCAGUGGGGAAUCUUCCGAAAUGGACGAAAGUCUGACGGAGCAACGCCGCGGGAGUGAUGACGGCCUUCGGGUUGUAAAGCUCUGUUAAUCGGGACGCGGUACCGGAAUAGAAAGCCACGGCUAACUACGUGCCAGCAGCCGCGGUAAUAC